ACAGUCCAUCAUUACUUUAAGACAUGAAGGUCAGUCCAUCAUUACUUUAAGACAUGAAGGUCAGUCCAUCAUUACUUUAAGACAUGAAGGUCAGUCAAUACAACAGUCCAUCAUUACUUUAAGACAUGAAGGUCAGUCAAUACAACAGUCCAUCAUUACUUUAAGACAUGAAGGUCAGUCAAUACAACAGUCCAUCAUUACUUUAAGACAUGAAGGUCAGUCAAUACAACAGUCCAUCAUUACUUUAAGACAUGAAGGUCAGUCCAUCAUUACUUUAAGACAUGAAGGUCAGUCAAUACAACAGUCCAUCAUUACUUUAAGACAUGAAGGUCAGUCAAUACAACAGUCCAUCAUUACUUUAAGACAUGAAGGUCAGUCAAUACAACAGUCCAUCAUUACUUUAAGACAUGAAGGUCAGUCCAUCAUUACUUUAAGACAUGAAGGUCAGUCAAUACAACAGUCCAUCAUUACUUUAAGACAUGAAGGUCAGUCAAUACAACAGUCCAUCAUUACUUUAAGACAUGAAGGUCAGUCAAUACAACAGUCCAUCAUUACUUUAAGACAUGAAGGUCAGUCAAUACAACAGUCCAUCAUUACUUUAAGACAUGAAGGUCAGUCAAUACAACAGUCCAUCAUUACUUUAAGACAUGAAGGUCAGUCAAUACAACAGUCCAUCAUUACUUUAAGACAGGAAGGUCAGUCAAUACAACAGUCCAUCAUUACUUUAAGACAUGAAGGUCAGUCCAUCAUUACUUUAAGACAUGAAGGUCAGUCAAUACAACAGUCCAUCAUUACUUUAAGACAUGAAGGUCAGUCA